UACGUAGGGGGCAAGCGUUGUCCGGAUUUAUUGGGCGUAAAGAGCGUGUAGGCGGCCAGGCAGGUCCGUUGUGAAAACUCGAGGCUCAACCUCGAGACGUCGAUGGAAACCGUCUGGCUAGAGUCCGGAAGAGGAGAGUGGAAUUCCUGGUGUAGCGGUGAAAUGCGCAGAUAUCAGGAAGAACACCUAUGGCGAAGGCAGCUCUCUGGAACGGUACUGACGCUGAGACGCGAAAGCGUGGGGAGCGAACAGG
rnacentral:rRNA from 1 species